rnacentral:rRNA from 1 species
UACAGAGGGUGCAAGCGUUAAUCGGAAUUACUGGGCGUAAAGCGUGCGUAGACGGUUAUGUAAGUCAGAUGUGAAAGCCCCGGGCUCAACCUGGGAAUUGCAUUUGAGUCUGUGUAGCUAGGGUGCGGAAGAGGGAAGCGGAAUUUCCGGUGUAGCGGUGAAAUGCGUAGAUAUCGGAAGGAACACCAGUGGCGAAAGCGGCUUCCUGGUCCAGCACCGACGUUCAGGCACGAAAGCGUGGGGAGCAAACAGG